rnacentral:RNase_P_RNA from 1 species
GUAAGUGAAUUGACUGCUGCGUUAAAGUAGAGGAAAGUCCAUGCUUGCACAGGCUGUGAUGCCUGUAGUGAUUCUGCUCUCAUUAAGAUUGAGAGACGUUGUAAGUUCAACGAUGACGAAGAAUUGACCUAAAGUGUUUGAUUAUGCAAUGGUUAACUCUUGGAAAGUGCAACAGAAACGAGUUAAUACGAAAGUGUUAAAUGAAACGGGCAAACUCCAGAAGCAAGAAACCCAAAUUUGGUAGGGGAAUGUUGAAAACAAUAACCAGAAUUGUUGAAACAAUGUAGCAAUACAUAGAUAAAUAGUCAAAUAAACAAAACAUGGCUUACCACU